UUUACUUCAAACGCGGAAAAGCAAACGGCAGAAAUUUCUGUGCGUCGUGAAUUGCACAGCGGUCCGUUCUCUCUUCGUGUCUACAGAGUUAGGAAAUAAGCAUCUUACUUGCCAAUUCACGACAUUUCUUCACAAUAAUAGUGGCAGAAAACGUCAACUGCCCUUGAUCAGGCUACAGCACAUACAGAGAUGGCAUCUGCAGGCUAUCAGGACAUUAAGAACAAUUUCUUACAAUGUGGAAAGACACAAGAUGCAGUGGAAUACCUGAAAC